rnacentral:rRNA from 1 species
UACGUAGGGUGCAAGCGUUAAUCGGAAUUACUGGGCGUAAAGCGUGCGCAGGCGGUGAUGUAAGACAGAUGUGAAAUCCCCGGGCUCCAACCUGGGAACUGCAUUUGUGACUGCAUCGCUGGAGUACGGCAGAGGGGGAUGGAAUUCCGCGUGUAGCAGUGAAAUGCGUAGAUAUGCGGAGGAACACCGAUGGCGAAGGCAAUCCCCUGGGCCUGUACUGACGCUCAUGCACGAAAGCGUGGGGAGCAACAGG